rnacentral:rRNA from 1 species
GGAGGAGGUCAUUAUGCGAGGGAAUGCAAAUCUCCGCGUGUGUUGAUUGCUACCGCGGAUGGUGGAUAUGAGUCCGCUAGUGACUAUGAUGAGGAGACAUUGGCUCUUAUUACACGUGAAGAACAUGGUGGAGAUGAUUCUGAUCAUGAGACGCAAUACAUGGCUCCUGAAGACGCUGACAGGUAUGAAUGUUUAGUUGCUCAACGUGUUUUGAGUGUGCAGGUCACACAAGCUGAGCAAAAUCAGAGGCACAAUUUGUUCCAUACCAAGGGAGUUGUGAAGGAACGUUCUGUGCGCGUCAUAAUAGACGGA